CUUUGAUCCAAGCUUAAAGACCCCGGAGAACAACAGCAGCUGGCCUCCUCGCUCCCCCGGCCCCCUCAAAGGCGUACUUUCCUCGGAACGAAUAUGGGACUAAUGAGCGAUGGGGGGACAAAGGGACCCUCAGCCGCCCUCUUCAACACCGCAGACUGCUCUAUUUUCACGUAUCCCGAAGCUGGCUUAUGGCAAGAUUAUCCGCUCAUUAGAAGGAAGAAAGCAG